GGUGGGUAGGUAGAGUAUACUAAGGGGCGCGAGAUAACUCUCUCUAAGGAACUCGGCAAAAUGACUCCGUAACUUCGGGAGAAGGAGUGCCUUAUUUUUAAGGUUGCAAUAACAAGAUCCAAGCAACUGUUUAUCAAAAACACAGGUCUCCGCUAAGUCGUAAGACGAUGUAUGGGGGCUGACGCCUGCCCAGUGCCAGAAGGUUAAAGAAGUUGGUUAGCACUUGCGAAGCUGAUAACUGAAGCCCUGGUGAACGGCGGCCGUAACAAUAACGGUCCUAAGGUAGCGAAAUUCCUUGUCGGGUAAGUUCCGACCCGCACGAAGGGCGUAAUGAUUUGGAUACUGUCUCGGAGAGGGGCUCGGUGAAAUAGACUUGUCUGUGAAGAUGCGGACUACCUGCACCUGGACAGAAAGACCCUAUGAAGCUUUACUGUAACUUGAAAUUGAAAUUGGACUUUACUUGCGCAGUAUAGGUGGGAGGCGUUGAAUUUAUUCUUGCGGGAAUUUAGGAGCCAUCAGUGAGAUACCACUCUGGUAAUGUUAGAUUUCUAACUUUGAAUCAUGAUCUGGUCAAAGAACAGUUUCAGGCGGGCAGUUUGACUGGGGCGGUCGCCUCCCAAAUGGUAACGGAGGCGUACAAAGGUUUCCUCUGAACGUGUAGAAAUCGUAUCUAGAGUGUAAGGCAUAAGGAAGCUUGACUGUGAGACCUACAAGUCGAGCAGGGACGAAAGUCGGUCUUAGUGAUCUGACGGUGCUGAGUGGAAAGGCCGUCACUCAACGGAUAAAAGUUACUCUAGGAUAACAGGCUGAUCUCCCCCAAGAGUUCACAUCGACGGGGAGGUUUGGCACCUCGAUGUCGGCUCAUCGCAUCCUGGGGCGGUAGUAUGUCCCAAGGGUUGGGCUGUUCGCCCAUGAAAGCGGUACGCGAGCUGGGUUCAGAACGUCGUGAGACAGUUCGGUCCAUAUCCGGUGUAGGCGUUAGAAUAUUGAGAGGAGCCUUCUUUAGUACGAGAGGACCGAGAAGGACAUACCUCUGGUGUACCAGUUAUCGUGCCAACGGUAAACGCUGGGUAGCUAUGUAUGGAGAGGAUAACCGCUGAAAGCAUCUAAGUGGGAAGCCCACCUCAAGAUAAGUAUUCUCAUCACAUAAGUGAGUAAGGUCACGGUAAGACUAACCGUUUAAUAGGCAUUAAGUAUAAAUAUAGUAAUAUAUGAGCUGAGAUGUGCUAACAGACCGAGGACUC
rnacentral:rRNA from 1 species